CGAAGGAGUGGCGAACGGGUGAGUAAUACAUAAGCAACCUACCCACGAAGACUGGGAUAAUCUCUGGAAACGGGGACUAAUACCGGAUAGGUAAUCGGAAGGCAUCUUCUGGUUAUUAAAGGUUAAAAAACACUGGUGGAUGGGCUUAUGGCGCAUUAGUUAGUUGGCGAGGUAACGGCCCACCAAGACGAUGAUGCGUAGCCGGCCUGAGAGGGUGAACGGCCACAUUGGGACUGAGACACGGCCCAG
rnacentral:rRNA from 1 species